AAAAAAGGUAAGCUACUAAGAGCGAAUGGUGGAUGCCUUGACUGGUAAAGGCGAUGAAGGACGUACUAGACUGCGAUAAGCUACGGGGAGCUGUCAAGAAGCUUUGAUCCGUAGAUUUCCGAAUGGGGCAACCCAAUGUAUAGAGAUAUACAUUACCUAUAUAGGAGCGAACGAGGGGAAUUGAAACAUCUUAGUACCCUCAGGAAAAGAAAUCAAUAGAGAUUGCGUCAGUAGCGGCGAGCGAAAGCGCAAGAGGGCAAACCCAGUGCUUGCACUGGGGGUUGUAGGACUGCAAUGUGCAAGAGGUGAGUUUAGCAGAACAUUCUGGAAAGUAUAGCCAUAGAGGGUGAUAGUCCCGUAUGCGAAAAACAAACCUUAGCUAGCAGUAUCCUGAGUAGGGCGGGACACGAGAAAUCCUGUCUGAAGCUGGGUCGACCACGAUCCAACCCUAAAUACUAAUACCAGAUCGAUAGUGCACAAGUACCGUGAGGGAAAGGUGAAAAGAACUGAGGUGAUCAGAGUGAAAUAGAACCUGAAACCAUUUGCUUACAAUCAUUCAGAGCCCUAUGUAGCAAUACAGGGUGAUGGACUGCCUUUUGCAUAAUGAGCCUGCGAGUUGUGGUGUCUGGCAAGGUUAAGCAAACGCGAAGCCGUAGCGAAAGCGAGUCUGAAUAGGGCGCUUAGUCAGAUGCUGCAGACCCGAAACGAAGUGAUCUAUCCAUGAGCAAGUUGAAGCUAGUGUAAGAACUAGUGGAGGACUGAACCCAUAGGCGUUGAAAAGCCCCGGGAUGACUUGUGGAUAGGGGUGAAAGGCCAAUCAAACUUCGUGAUAGCUGGUUCUCUCCGAAAUAUAUUUAGGUAUAGCGUUGUGUCGUAAUAUAAGGGGGUAGAGCACUGAAUGGGCUAGGGCAUACACCAAUGUACCAAACCCUAUCAAACUCCGAAUACCUUAUAUGUAAUCACAGCAGUCAGGCGGCGAGUGAUAAAAUCCGUCGUCAAGAGGGAAACAACCCAGACUACCAGCUAAGGUCCCUAAAUCUUACUUAAGUGGAAAACGAUGUGAAGUUACUUAAACAACCAGGAGGUUGGCUUAGAAGCAGCCAUCCUUUAAAGAAAGCGUAAUAGCUCACUGGUCUAGUGAUUUUGCGCGGAAAAUAUAACGGGGCUAAAGUAAGUACCGAAGCUGUAGACUUGCACACAACUUAGAUUAUUUAAGUUUAGAAUAUGAGAAACUAAGUUAUAUGUUUAGUUAUAUUUUUACUGAUUUUUAUAGAGUAAAGAUAGAAAUAAAACUUAGUAAAAUCAGUAAAAAUAUUCUUAGACUAAAGUUAAGUAGUUUAAGUUGUGUGCAAGUGGUAGGAGAGCGUUCUAUUUGCGUCGAAGGUAUACCGGUAAGGAGUGCUGGAGCGAAUAGAAGUGAGCAUGCAGGCAUGAGUAGCGAUAAUUAAUGUGAGAAUCAUUAACGCCGUAAACCCAAGGUUUCCUACGCGAUGCUCGUCAUCGUAGGGUUAGUCGGGUCCUAAGUCGAGUCCGAAAGGGGUAGACGAUGGCAAAUUGGUUAAUAUUCCAAUACCAACAUUAGUGUGCGAUGGAAGGACGCUUAGGGCUAAGGGGGCUAGCGGAUGGAAGUGCUAGUCUAAGGUCGUAGGAGGUUGUACAGGCAAAUCCGUAUAACAAUACUCCGAGAACUGAAAGGCUUUUUGAAGUCUUCGGAUGGAUAGAAGAACCCCUGAUGCCGUCGAGCCAAGAAAAGUUUCUAAGUUUAGCUAAUGUUGCCCGUACCGUAAACCGACACAGGUGGGUGGGAUGAGUAUUCUAAGGCGCGUGGAAGAACUCUCUUUAAGGAACUCUGCAAAAUAGCACCGUAUCUUCGGUAUAAGGUGUGGUUCGCUUCGUAUUAGGAUUUACUCCGAAAGCGAAGAAACUUACAACAAAGAGUCCCUCCCGACUGUUUACCAAAAACACAGCACUCUGCUAACUCGUAAGAGGAUGUAUAGGGUGUGACGCCUGCCCGGUGCUCGAAGGUUAAUUGAUGGGGUUAGCAUUAGCGAAGCUCUUGAUCGAAGCCCGAGUAAACGGCGGCCGUAACUAUAACGGUCCUAAGGUAGCGAAAUUCCUUGUCGGUUAAAUACCGACCUGCAUGAAUGGCGUAACGAGAUGGGAGCUGUCUCAAAGAGGGAUCCAGUGAAAUUGUAGUGGAGGUGAAAAUUCCUCCUACCCGCGGCAAGACGGAAAGACCCCGUGGACCUUUACUACAGCUUGACACUGCUACUUGGAUAAGAAUGUGCAGGAUAGGUGGGAGGCUUUGAGUAUAUGACGCCAGUUGUAUAUGAGCCAUUGUUGAGAUACCACUCUUUCUUAUUUGGGUAGCUAACCAGCUUGAGUUAUCCUCAAGUGGGACAAUGUCUGGUGGGUAGUUUGACUGGGGCGGUCGCCUCCCAAAUAAUAACGGAGGCUUACAAAGGUUGGCUCAGAACGGUUGGAAAUCGUUCGUAGAGUAUAAAGGUAUAAGCCAGCUUAACUGCAAGACAUACAAGUCAAGCAGAGACGAAAGUCGGUCUUAGUGAUCCGGUGGUUCUGUGUGGAAGGGCCAUCGCUCAAAGGAUAAAAGGUACCCCGGGGAUAACAGGCUGAUCUCCCCCAAGAGCUCACAUCGACGGGGAGGUUUGGCACCUCGAUGUCGGCUCAUCGCAUCCUGGGGCUGGAGCAGGUCCCAAGGGUAUGGCUGUUCGCCAUUUAAAGCGGUACGCGAGCUGGGUUCAGAACGUCGUGAGACAGUUCGGUCCCUAUCUGCCGUGGGCGUAAGAAGAUUGAAGAGAUUUGACCCUAGUACGAGAGGACCGGGUUGAACAAACCACUGGUGUAGCUGUUGUUCUGCCAAGAGCAUCGCAGCGUAGCUAAGUUUGGAAAGGAUAAACGCUGAAAGCAUCUAAGCGUGAAGCCAACUCUAAGAUGAAUCUUCUCUAAGCUCUCUAGAAGACUACUAGUUUGAUAGGCUGGGUGUGUAAUGGAUGAAAGUCCUUUAGCUGACCAGUACUAAUAGAGCGUUUGGCUUAUCUUUAAUAAAGCAU
rnacentral:rRNA from 1 species